UACGGAGGGUGCGAGCGUUGUCCGGAAUCACUGGGCGUAAAGGGCGCGUAGGCGGUCCGGUAAGCGCGUGGUGAAAGCCCGGGGCUCAACCCCGGGUCGGCCGUGCGGACUGCGGGACUCGAGCACUGUAGAGGCGGGCGGAAAUCCGGGUGUAGCGGUGGAAUGCGUAGAGAUCCGGAAGAACACCGGUGGCGAAGGCGGCCCGCUGGGCAGGAUGCUGACGCUGAGGCGCGACAGCGUGGGGAGCAAACAGG
rnacentral:rRNA from 1 species